AGUAGGGAAUAUUGCACAAUGGGCGAAAGCCUGAUGCAGCAACGCCGCGUGCGCGAAGAAGGCCUUCGGGUUGUAAAGCGCUUUUCGGGGAGAAGAGAAAGGACGGUAUCCCCGGAAUAAGGAUCGGCUAACUACGUGCCAGCAGCCGCGGUAAAACGUAGGAUCCGAGCGUUAUCCGAAUUCACUGGGCGUAAAGCGCGUGUAGGCGGUUCGGUAAGUUGGAUGUGAAAGCUCCCGGCUCAACUGGGAGAGGGCGUUCAAAACUGUUGGACUAGAGGGCGGAAGAGGGAGGUGGAAUUCCCGGUGUAGUGGUGAAAUGCGUAGAUAUCGGGAGGAACACCAGUGGCGAAGGCGGCCUCCUGGGCCGCACCUGACGCUCAGACGCGAAAGCUAGGGUAGCAAACGGGAUUAGAAACCCCGGUAGUCCUAGCUGUAAACGAUGUAGACUUGGUGUUGGUGGGGUAAAAGCCAUCAGUGCCGGAGCAAACGCGAUAAGUCUACCGCCUGGGGACUACGACCGCAAGGUUAAAACUCAAAGGAAUUGACGGGGACCCGCACAAUCAGCGGAGCGUGUGGUUUAAUUCGAUGCAACGCGAAGAACCUUACCCGGGCUUGACAUGCGAGUGGUAGGGAAGUGAAAGCGGACCGACCCUUCGGGGAGUUCGCACAGGUGCUGCAUGGCUGUCGUCAGCUCGUGCCGUGAGGUGUCCGGUUAAGUCCGGUAACGAGCGCAACCCUUGCUGUAUGUUACAAGUGUCAUACAGGACUGCCGGUAUAAAGCCGGAGGAAGGUGGGGAUGACGUCAAGUCAGCAUGGCCUUUAUGUCCGGGGCUACACACACGCUACAAUGGUCAGUACAAUAGGUUGCAAAACUGCGAAGUGGAGCCAAUCCCUAAAGCUGGCCACAGUUCAGAUUGCA
rnacentral:rRNA from 1 species